GCCCGCGUGGCGCAAUUGGUCAGCGCGCCAGACUUUUAUCUUCAAAUCCCUGAGGACAUCUUAUCUGGAUGUUGUGAGUUCGAGUCUCGCCGUGGGCA